rnacentral:rRNA from 1 species
GCAAGUCGAACGGUAACAGGAAGCAGCUUGCUGCUUUGCUGACGAGUGGCGGACGGGUGAGUAAUGUCUGGGAAACUGCCUGAUGGAGGGGGAUAACUACUGGAAACGGUAGCUAAUACCGCAUAACGUCGCAAGACCAAAGAGGGGGACCUUAGGGCCUCUUGCCAUCGGAUGUGCCCAGAUGGGAUUAGCUAGUAGGUGGGGUAACGGCUCACCUAGGCGACGAUCCCUAGCUGGUCUGAGAGGAUGACCAGCCACACUGGAACUGAGACACGGUCCAGACUCCUACGGGAGGCAGCAGUGGGGAAUAUUGCACAAUGGGCGCAAGCCUGAUGCAGCCAUGCCGCGUGUAUGAAGAAGGCCUUCGGGUUGUAAAGUACUUUCAGCGGGGAGGAAGGGAGUAAAGUUAAUACCUUUGCUCAUUGACGUUACCCGCAGAAGAAGCACCGGCUAACUCCGUGCCAGCAGCCGCGGUAAUACGGAGGUGCAAGCGUUAAUCGGAAUUACUGGGCGUAAAGCGCACGCAGGCGGUUUGUUAAGUCAGAUGUGAAAUCCCGGGCUCAACCUGGGAACUGCAUCUGAUACUGGCAAGCUUGAGUCUCGUAGAGGGGGUAGAAUUCCGUGUAGCGGUGAAAUGCGUAGAGAUCUGGAGGAAUACCGGUGGCGAAGGCGGCCCCGGACGAAGACUGACGCUCAGGUGCGAA